AAUAUUGGACAAUGGGGGGAACCCUGAUCCAGCCAUGCUGCGUGUGUGAAGAAGGUCUUCGGAUUGUAAAGCACUUUAAGUUGGGAGGAUGAGUUGUAGGCUAAUACCUUGCAAUUUUGACGUUACUAACAGAAUAAGCACUGACUAACUUCGUGCCAGCAGCCGCGGUAAUACGAAGGGUGCAAGCUUUAAUCGGAAUUACUGGGCGUAAAGCGCGCGUAGGUGGUUCGUUAAGUUGGAAGUGAAAGCCCCGGGCUUAACCUGGGAAUUGCUUUCAAUACUGACGAGCUAGAGUACGGUAGAAGGUAGUGGAAUUUCCUGUGUAGCGGUGAAAUGCGUAGAUAUAGGAAGGAACACCAGUGGCGAAGGCGACUACCUGGACUGAUACUGACACUGAGGUGCGAAAGCGUGGGGAGCAAACA
rnacentral:rRNA from 1 species